GUACGCUUUGAUGGUGAAAAGAAUGCGUAGGAGCAGAGAACUGGGUUCAUCUGGCAGCAUUUGUGACAGCAUUCGGGGCAAAGCAGGCUGUAAACAUUUGCUGGUGAAGAGCUGCCUCUUUCUGUGGCUGUGUGAAAAGCCAGACCCACAGUUGUGGAUUGAGUAAUUCUUCUACAGGAUGGAAAAAAGGUACUGCCUGUGAAGCUAGCAAAAACAUAGCAGGUGGUCAAUGUAUCAUGGAUGUCCACUGUUCUAGGAGAUUGUUUCAUUCAUUAAUAUCAACUUCAGUGAUGAGAACAGGAUGUACAAUAUUACUGCAUGAGACAGGGAGAAAGGAGAUGGAAGGGAUGAGGAGGAGACACUACACGAAGCUUGGUUCGGCUACAGUUCUCAGUAUUUGAAAUCCAAUGAGACUCUUCUGUACAAGAGCUUAAUUUGGACUUGAUAGGAACCCAGUUUACCAGUUUAAGUCACUGCUGGAUAAUAGAGCUUGAAGCUGUUCCACAAUAAAGCACUACAUUCAGCUGUGUGCCUUAUCACUAGGACUCAUCUGACCUUUCCCAGGCCUCUGAAGGAAAGGACCAGGCCCGUCUUUGGCUUUUGAUUCAGCAGAUGAGUUUGUUUUCUUUUUGUUCUCUCUCCUGGCUACCCUCCACCCCCUUCUACUUUCAGGACAAUUUCUUUCCCCGAAGCAGACAGGCACAUCAGCUAUUGGAAGUCAAUACCUGGAGCUCUAUGUGCUUUUGUCAAAAUAAGGAGCCAUUUAAACCUUCUUCAAUUCUCUUCGAUGUUUCUGAACUACCACCUGCUUUUCAUUGCAGAUGUGUAUCAUUGCACCUUAUUAUGCUGGAGAACUUGGACAAAUUUUCCUGUAAUUCCUUAGAAAGAUGCCUUUUUACAUCUGGACAUAAUGUGGGGGACAGGAUGAAGACUGGACCCCUUUUCCACUGAAAUGAAGAGAAAGGCUAUGGGUUACACUUGCUAACUGAGCAGUAUAGCUUUUCCCUGUUCUGCCUUACAUAGCCAUUCCCAAUGAAAGACUGUUUUGUAUAAACGCAGGAGAAGGAGGCAGGGACCACAAGUGCUUUAGCCGAAAUUCCUGUCACUAUAGGACAUACUCUUUUUCACAUUAUCACAGAACCACAAAAUGGCUGAGGUUGGAUGGCACACCUAGGUCCAUCUUGUCCAGAACCUGUUCCAGCAGGGACACCCCGAGCAGUGUACCCAGGAUCAUGCCCAGAUGUAUUUUGAAGAUCUCCAAAGAAGUGACCCCACAAAUUUUCUGGGCAAUCUUUUCCACUGCUAUAUUUCUUCCUGAGAUCUUUAUGCCAACCUCAGUGUACCUAACUACUGCAGGUUACUCAAAGCACAAAGCUGGGGGGAGCUGAGCAGAAGAAGAUGCUUGUGUUUGGCCUACUGCCUUCUCGUUCACAGGCUUCAGCGAUACCUUAUGACUGCAAAACAGGCUGCUCUGGGCUCUAUUCAUUUCUAUGCUUUAACAGGGAGGCACCAAAAGAGAAUUUUCACUGUUCUUUGGUUGCAUACUCCAGUGUUGUACUUUACACCAAAAAAAAAAACUGUCCAUGCCUGUCUACUGUGUGCACAAGGACUUUUGGCCUGUUGCCCACUAGUAUGGAAGAAAAAAGUAAGGCCAUAAAAUGCUCUUCUUGUCUUUGGCUAGUAUUAUCACUGAAAAAUAUGCUUCUGCUUUUUUCUUUUCUUUUUUCUUUUUUCUAUUUUCUUUUUUCUAUUUUCUUUUUUUCUAUUUUCUUUUCCUUUUUAAGGUUACAGAGUGAUUUCUGUGUUAUGAUGGAGUCAGUUCACAGUGCUAAGUGCCAGAAUUGUGGUUAAUUAGUAGCCAGUUUAGGAAAUUAUGUUAUCAUUACCUCAUCCUUUCUUAGCUUAGCAGCUUUCUCCUCUUCCACAUCCCCUUUCUGUCCUCUGCAACAUUUUCUACCCAAGGAUAUAAUUUUUCUUAAUGACAUCCAUGUCACACAUAUAAACUCAAAUCUCCUAAACAUACCCAGCACCUUGUCUCUCCGGUAGUUUGAAAUCCCACUUGAAUUAACUUUUUUUUUUUUUUUUUUUUGGAAUGGAUACUAACCAAAGAAAACAGCCAUUCCUCCCCCCCCCCCUCCCCUCCCCCCCCCCCUCCCAAAAAAAAAGAGUUGCUCUAUUCUUUUUUUCACCAUCCUGGUUUUACACUAGCUCUUGCCUAUGCAUCUCCAUACCAGGCUCUGGGGCUGACACUGGGUUGACCUCUGUGCACCCCUUGUUUGUUGUUGAUGUGCAUGCUCACUUUUGCCCUCUGCUACUCUUCCACACGUGAAAAGCAAAGGGGAAAACAUACACAAGGGAGCAAACAAGCACAUCCCCACAACAAGUUGUGGCAGUAUAUAGAGUUAGAAACUACAAGAGAAAAAGGGAUUUUCAACUGGUGCACUCUGUAAUCAGAAAUCUGCUAUUCAGGGCAGAGAAGGAAGGGAAAUGAGAGUUCAGAAAUUGACAACAUGGAUUUACUUGUCUUCUGUUCAGUUUUGCACUAAUCUUGGCUUUGUCCAGACCUAUUAAGCACCUCAGGAUGAAAACCCAGGCUAGAUGCAUGGGAGGAGCAAUUCUCUACCAAGUUUUGGCUCAGAAUGAUAUGAAAAUGUUACUAUCUUCUGUUACUAUCCUUCAAGAUAAAGUCAACUACUUCUGAAUAACAGAUUUAUCAGGGAUGGAGUUAUUUUCUUUCUGUGUCCUCCCCAGCCCCUUGCAGAGACUUGGACCAUCUUGGAGAAGGGUGGCUGAUGUGGAAAUCUCUGGAGCACAAAGCUCUGAGCAAUAUCUGGAGCACAAAGCUGUGAGCUUUGUGAGUUUGCCAAAGCUGAAACCAAAGAUCUGAACUGCUUUCAUUGGUGUGAGACACAUAUUGUAUAAACAGGAACAGAAACAUCAUGGGUUGCUCUUGCUGUGCAAUAUUAAAACAUUCAACCAAAUGUGGAUUUUAUUUUCUUUUUCUAUCUCAUCUUGUUUCUGGUUCCCUUUAUCUUGGUCUCUUGUACAGUGAGUGCGUUUGGCUAAAUUAUCUCUGUUGCCUCAUGUAAAAGGGAUUAGAUCUGGAUUGCAACCUUUAGGAUAGCACCCCAUAUAUUGCCUCUACUUCUUUUCUCCUCCAACAUACACCAGUUUUCUCUUCUCAGCUUUCACACCUUUCAGGCAUUUGCAGAAUGGGUAGGGCUGGCUCACACGUUAGUCAUUUCUUCACCAAACUGAUUAUAUGUUUUUGCAGAUUUUGCCUGCCCUAAAAGCUUCCGCUGCUCUUCUCUGCACCCCUCCCACUAAACAUGGAUAUGAGGGGCCUGGAAAUGCAUGUGAUAAUCCACGCAGUUUUCCCACAGCUCAUGGAGAAGGACUUUUACUUCCCAACAGUUAUCACAAUAUUGAGACUGGCCAAAAUCACCCAGGCUUUUGCCAUAUCACAUUUCAAGGCAGAACUAUCUGUGGCCUCUCAGGCAGUCUUUAGGCUAGGGAAAUAGGUUGUGUUUGAAAGUAAAUAAAUGCGUUACUGAAUUUUAAACAGGACUUUGCACUGAGGAUAAAUCAAGCUUCAAUUCAUAUGAGCUGGCUGUAGUCAACACUAGCAGUGGGGUGUGUGGGAAACUUUAAUGUAUGAAUUUCUUCCAUAUAUUCACCACUAACUCCUGUUGAAAAUUGCAUGAGUUGAAACAUGCUAAAUUUUUUCUAGACAUGUUGUGUCUUUCACUGAACAUCUCCCCAGAUUUGUUCUGACUAAACUCUAUAUUUCAAAGGUUCUUACUGGUAAAUGUGUUUGUUUCUGUUUAGCAAGGAGGAAUCUCCUGUCCCUCUGCUGCUCAGGUAAUGCACCUCUCAGGGCAGUUUUCUGCUGUGUCUCCACUGUCCCUUGUGAUUCAGUGCUACGGAGGCCCCAAAAAGAGGACCUGUGGAACACUGUAGUAGAAGCACAGGACAAUGUUUCCAGGGGUCUCACACCACUCUGCUUCUCCAGGAUGUUACCAUCCAUCCAGAUCCUUCAAACAUCCAUUCUCCUGUAAAUAUUAUCCUAGGCUGGAUGUGGCUCUGGGCAGCCUGGUCUAGUGGUUGGCAACCUGGCCUACAGCAUGGGGGUUGAAACUAGAUGAUCUUUGAGGUCCUUUUCAACCUAGGCCAUUCUAUGAGUAUAUGAUUCUAUGAUUAUGCUUCUGGGGUCCCGUGCUGCCAGGGCUUCAUCCUCGUGGUUUUCGUAGUGUAUUUUAUAAUUUCUCUAUCAUCAAGUAUGUAGUCACCAUCAGAGCAUGAUGGUGAGAGCUGAAGACAGCACUUCAGCUCUAUGGAAGAAGUGACUUUAACCAAGGAGAGAAAGUCUCUUCCCUUGUUUGCUGAGGAGAGAGAAACCAUGGGAAUCUCAGCCAGGCCAGAGGCACAGCAAGGUGCUGUGGGACCCAGGCUGAGAGUCAGCUCCCAAGCGUGACCAGAGCCAGAGGCAGUAUCAUGGCAUGUGGGCAUCUCCUCUGCUGACACACCCAGCUCUACUAUGUCCAACAUGCCCUGAGGACACAGCUGAAUGCCAUAAUGAAUUGCUGGUAUAGAUGCCCUGUGACUAGUCAAAGGUUUGUUUUAAAAAACCUAGUUUGGAAGGUUAGGUUGCCCAGUAAAAUUCAGAUGUUUGUUCCCAUCUUAUUUUGUCCAUAAAGAAAAAGAAAUUGACACAGUUUUUUCACUGCACGUGAACCUUCAUGCUUCCCUGCUUUUCUAUCUGCAGCCUCUCUCCACCAGAAGCUUCAAAUGCUUCGAACUGGCAUCCUGAUGCAAAGCAGAGCUAUUUCUUUUUUUUUCCUAUUCAACACAGGGAUUGCUUCUGAGAGUAGUUAUCUUUUAAGACUUGGAUUCAAGAGAUGCUGCACUGUGGUCUCAGCUUAUUUCUCACACAGCUGGAUGUGUAUCAGGCGUGGUGUGCAUCAGUGCUUUGAACAACACUUGACUCCUCAGAUAGCCACGCUGAAGUCAAAGGCCAUCUUUGCUGAGCGAGGUGUUAUUUCCGGAGGGAAAGACACAUCUGUACACUUGCUCAGACUGUUUUGUUUUGAAUCUCUUAUAAAUAUCCAGCUUCUGGGAUGAGAUUAUUAUCCGAGAAUCUCCUCAUUUUUUUCUUUUUUCUUUUUUCUUUUUUUUCAGCUUAAGUUGUUUUUAAUCUUCAUAGUGGUAUGCAACCUAGAAAAAAAAAAUGACCGUAGCCACAGAAGGUAAAUUAAAAGAUCUUUGAAUUCAGUAUUUUGCCUUAAGACUUCUAGGUAAGCUUUCAAUUUUUUACACCUGACAUCUUCACCUUGCAGACAUACAGCUCUAAGCACUGAUGCCCAGUCACCUCUAAGUGAGUCGAAGGCCUGGGAUUUGCAGUGCUUUGCUCUUUCCUACCCAUGCUCUAAGGGCUGAUUUUAAACGAGUUGAGUUAAAUCAGAGAAAAAUUUCCCCUGCUGGAGACAUUCGUAAUCUGAGGUAAAUGUCUGGACUGUCUUCAUUUCAUUUGUUUAAUUGAACCUCUUGAUAAGAUGCCUGAGUUAGGCUAACAUGGUACAAAGACCCUUAAGUUGCUUCUCUCUAUUUUCCUUAUGUCACCAUUGGUCAAAUGUAAAUGUGACAUAACUUACUUGCCUUUAUCAGCUACUAUUACUGCAAGACAGUUAAAAAAAAGAAAAAGAAAAGAAAAAGAAAAGAAAAAGAAAAAGAAAAAGAAAAAGAAAAAGAAAAAGAAAAAGAAAAAGAAAAAGAAAAAGAAAAAGAAAAAGAAAAAGAAAAAGAAAAAGAAAAAGAAAAAGAAAAAGAAAAAGAGAAGGUGACAUUAAACCAGCUAAAAAAAUCUCAAGAGACCUGUCAAUCAAGAAAGAUAUUUACUGAAGCUUCUAUUGACCCAUAUAUGCUCUUAUCUAGAAACCUUUAUCUUCUAAGACAAUGUUGACUAACAGCUUUUCCCUUACUCUUGUUUCUAUCUUAAAAGAAUAACAAAUAAGCUUAAUUCUUCACAAAAUCUUUAGCAAAUGCCUUUUAAGCCUAACACAAUGGUGGUUAUUUUAAGAAGGACGGCUAAGCACUGCAACACUUUUCUAUUUUUCUGUCUUCGUUUUUCACAUUGGAACACUUAAUCAUAGUUAAUCUUAGCGCACAAGGAAGACACAUUAACUUUGUUUGCACAGGACUGAUAUAAAAGCUUUCAACUCCUCCAUUCCCUUCUUCGUCUCCCUGGUAAGCUGCACCAUUUUAAAUAACAGAUAAAGGAAAUGCUGCAGAUUCAAUGAUACAGUAUAUCCUUGCUCAUAUAACUGCAGGGACUUGACUCUGCAAGCAAAGUUACAGCCUGACAGAUGAGCCAGCCAAAGCUGAGCAUCUGCAAAUCCCAUGGAAGGGUCUGAGCCAAGGAGAAGGGCCCAUCUUAUAAGGGUUUAUGAAAAUAGUUGCUGAGAAGAUGCCAAUGCAGGUAUGAGGAGAGCAACUCCCUGUACAGUAGAGGUGUUCAGACGUCUCCAUUCUCUGCAGACACAAGCAGGCUUCAUUGUCAGUGUUGCAGCCAGUUCCCAACAUUUGUCUGAGUGUCAUUGAAUCAAUCAUAGAAUCAGAAUUUUGAGUUGGAAGAGACCCUUAAAGGCCAUCUAGUCCAACUCCCCUGCACUGAAAAGGGACACCUACAGCUAGAUCAGGUUUCUCAGAGCUCUGUCCAGCCUGAUCUGUUCCCUCUCUGUAUUUUUCUUCAGAGGCUAUAGCAAUGGUUUGCUUAAGAGUCUUGUUUUAAUAGGGUUUUAUUCUCCAAGGAGGUGAAAUUAAGGGCUAAAUCUCAGCUUCACUGAAGUCAGUGAGCCUGAAAUGAAUAGAAUUUCUUUUGGACUGAUUCCGAAUCUCACUGUGGAGGGUAAUGGUAAUUUAAAUGCUUUUUAUGGCCUCUUUACUCUGUCAGAGCAAUAAAAGGGGGCUUAGUCUUUGGCUACACCCAAAAGUUGUCCUGCUUAAUUAUCUUCAAAUAGUAAAACUAAUAAAAACCUUUGCCUGCUCCUUGCCUCCUCCCUCACACCUACCAAAGCAGAUUUGCUGGUACAAAUGUACUGAUGUGCGGCAUGAAGGGAAUUAGGCUACACUGGCUCGGGGGUUUUGGCUGGAAGAAGAUAGCUGUAUGUUAAUUAAUUAAGUUAGAUCUUGCUCCUGGAUUUUUUUGUCUGAUCUUAUGGGUGAUCUGAGGAUGAAUUCUGAGAUGAGGAUGAAUUCUGGCCUAUUGCAGCUGGAUGUACGCUCUGGCCACAUUAUGAUCCCAAAGUGAGAGCAGACAGAGAUGUGUGUAGAGACGUGUGCCUUUGUUUGCAGAGACAAAAAGUCUGGAUGUGUGGCCCAGAGGAAGUGUUAUUGCAAUAGUCCCUAAUGAAGACAUGUGGGAAUCUGGGCUCUGGGAUAUGGCAUAAUGCAUAUCCUUGACUUUCUCUAGGAAAAUCAGUAGGUAUAAAGAAGCAAGGAUUGAAGAUGAGACAUCCCAUGGCAACUUUUGUAGAUGUUAAAACACAAGGAGAUCAUCCUUUGCUGACUCUUGCCAGUUCUGCAUCCUGUUUUGUGUUUGCUAGAAUCUAGUAAAACACAAGGAGUAGGUGUUGUUCCAACAUUUUCCAUCUCCGUUCAGGCAUUUCUGGGAACUAUUCUCAGAGAACAAACUGAAAAACACUGUGCAGUUUUUGUUUAGGAACCAUUUUGUUUCUCUAUGAAGUGCUGUAGUAUAAAUGAAUGUGUAUAUAUAUGCAAACAAAUACAUAAAGAAUAUUUGUUUGGUGGUCAGAAGAAGCAAAGCUGCCCUUGCCCUUUCAUCCUGAGAUGAGAGGACAUUAGAUCAGGCUAAUAACCAGCUAGACUUAUUUUAUUGUUAUUAUUUUAAAUAAAAAUAAAACAAAGAAUGCUUUUUCUUGUUGCUAUGUUUCAGUUGUACUAUUUUAUCAUAACAGCAAUUAGGUACAGGAGACUGGUGCAGCCAGUACACUAAACAGCCAU
ensembl:lncRNA